rnacentral:rRNA from 1 species
CCUACGGGCGGCUGCAGUGGGGAAUUUUGGACAAUGGGCGCAAGCCUGAUCCAGCCAUGCCGCGUGCGGGAAGAAGGCCUUCGGGUUGUAAACCGCUUUUGUCAGGGAAGAAAAGGUUCUGGCUAAUACCUGGGACUCAUGACGGUACCUGAAGAAUAAGCACCGGCUAACUACGUGCCAGCAGCCGCGGUAAUACGUAGGGUGCAAGCGUUAAUCGGAAUUACUGGGCGUAAAGCGUGCGCAGGCGGUUAUGCAAGACAGAGGUGAAAUCCCCGGGCUCAACCUGGGAACUGCCUUUGUGACUGCAUGGCUAGAGUACGGUAGAGGGGGAUGGAAUUCCGCGUGUAGCAGUGAAAUGCGUAGAUAUGCGGAGGAACACCGAUGGCGAAGGCAAUCCCCUGGACCUGUACUGACGCUCAUGCACGAAAGCGUGGGGAGCAAACAGGAUUAGAUACCCGAGUAGUC